AGAUUCGAGUUCUCUCAGGGUCUGAGAGUAUAGAAUGUACUAAACACCCAACCAGAGUGAACUGAAGUGGAAAUGAAAGAAAAUCCAUUUUGAAGACUUAUGUCCCCUCCUUCUCUCCCUUCCUUUGAUGUGAAGGAAAAAGCUCAGCUUCCAGGGUGGUGAUAAUGGGAUAUUUUUUCCAGUUAGAUUCUUCAUCAUCUAACCCAACUGUGUCUUAAUUCUCCUACUUUCUUAAUUCUCCCUGAUGUAGCUCAGAGCCCUAACUAACUAAAUGGGCCCACACUGGGGAAGCCAGCACUAGAAAGAGAAAAAAAGCAAAAUAUUUCACAUCGAAAUAAAACAAACAACAAGACACGGGGUAGAGAAGUUCUCAUGAGCUGGACAGAGUAUGGCUGAAAGCUUUUCCCCAGAAAACAAACCUUGGGAGGAGCAACAAAGGACUCUUGUAGCCGACUUGAUGGGCAAGCUGAUCAAUGGCAGUACCAGGCACCUGUGACCUUCUUUGCACAGACAUACUGAGAGCCAGAAGUGCCUGGGAAUUAAUGUUCACCAGGAGUUAUCAGCAGCCAAUGACUGGGAGGAGGCAAGAACUCCAGAGGGGCUUAUCCGAGUGGCAGAAGGAGAGCCCCCACUGAAAAUGCCUGUUACACACCUUCUGGGAACCGCCCUCCUCUUUCACCUCCUCCCAGCCCCAGCUGGAAUUCCCAAAUGUAGCCUAAACCAGUACCAGGCCAGCGAAUAAAGGAAAUGGAAGCUGCCAAAACAGCGAGUCUUGGUCAGAAUUUCAGAGUCAUUUCUCAGGUCUGGGUUAGAGGAUCUAAAUACAGGGGAAGUCAAGCCAGAUUGUUGCCAUCCUAGCUACUUUUUGGAAUUGGGAAGCAUGUAAAGAUUGACUCCUUUUCCUAGCAUCCUUCGAAGAGCAGGAAAAGUGGGGCAGUAAGUAUUCAGAAGCAUCUGUUUCCUGCCUGUGCCCCUCUGAGUACCAGAGGGGGCCAGCAGAACAACCUGCAUGGUCCAUAAACACGCAGGGAGGGCUGUGACUUAGGAAGCCACACUGGCAGCUGAGCCUCCCCAGGAUGAAGAUGGGCAUUCACUGAAAAGCCGUUUUUGUGUUUCUUCCAGUACUGUUAUUUUUUUUUUAAGGUAUAACUUAAUAAAAUGUAGAUUUUUUUUCCAAAUGCCUGCUUUAUCAUUACCGAUGUGUGGAUUUUGACAGAUAAGUACACCCAUGGAACCCACCACCCAUCAAGAAACAGAACUUAGGUUUCUUGUAAACAGAACUUACAGGCACGGUGGCUCACACCUGUAAUCUCAGCACUUUGGGAGUCCGAGGCAGGAGUAUCACCUGAGGUCAGGGAUUUGAGACCAGCCUAGCCAACAUAUAGUGAAACCCUGUUUCUACUAAAAAAAAAAAAAAAAAAUUAGCUGGGUGGUGGUGCACGCCUGUAGUCCCAGCUACUUGGGAAGUUGAGGCAGGAGAAUCACUUGAACAUGGCAGGUGGAGAUUGCAAUGAGCCAUGAUUGAGCCACUGCACUCCAGCUUGGGCAACAGAGCAAGACUGUCUCUCAAAAAAACAAAGCAAAACAAAACAAAACAAACUAACAGAUCUUGUCCAUCACUGCAACAAAUUCCCUAAUGCUGUUUGCUUCAAUCUUCCACUCAUCAAAGGAAACCUCUGAUGUAUCUGGUUUCUGUCAUUACAGAGCAGUUUGCUCUUUCUAAUGUCGUAUUAAUGAAACUACACAGUAUGUAGUUGUUUUCUGGCUUUGUUUGCUCAGAAUGCAGUUUUUAAAGAUCACCCAUGUAGGAACAUAUAUCAGAGCACCUAUAUGUAGUUUGUUUCAUUUUAGUGAUGAUUAACAUUUCACGAUAUGGUCAUACCACCAUUUGUUUAUGCAUUCAUCUGUUGAUAGGCAUUUGGGUUGUUUAUUGGUUUGUGGCUGUUAUGAAUAAAGUUGCAAUUAAUAUUCUUCU